GACGAACGCUGGCGGCGUGCUUAACACAUGCAAGUCGAACGGAAAGGCCCUGCUUUUGUGGGGUGCUCGAGUGGCGAACGGGUGAGUAACACGUGAGUAACCUGCCCUUGACUUUGGGAUAACUUCAGGAAACUGGGGCUAAUACCGGAUAGGAGCUCCUGCUGCAUGGUGGGGGUUGGAAAGUUUCGGCGGUUGGGGAUGGACUCGCGGCUUAUCAGCUUGUUGGUGGGGUAGUGGCUUACCAAGGCUUUGACGGGUAGCCGGCCUGAGAGGGUGACCGGCGACAUUGGGACUGCGAUACGGCCCAGGCGCGUACGGGAGGCAGCAGGGGGGAAUCUUGCACAAUGGGCGGAAGCCUGAUGCGGCAACGCCGCGGGCGGGAUGACGGCCUUCGGGUUGUGAAGCGCAUUCGCCUGUGACGAAGCGUGAGUGCCGGUACUGGGAAAAGAAGCACCGGCUAACUACGUG
rnacentral:rRNA from 1 species